GAUAUUGCUACAGGUUCAAAAUCCACAUAACAUAAAAUACAAUGGCACCAUUCAAGGCUUGAAAUAUAUCUGGAGAACUGAAGGGUUCAAAGGACUGUUUAAGGGCAACGGCACCAAUUGUGCCCGGAUCGUCCCAAACUCUGCAGUCAAGUUCUUCAGCUAUGAACAAGCUUCCAAGGGUAUAUUAUAUUUGUACCGGCAACAAACUGGAAAUGAGGACGCUCAGCUCACUCCACUAUUACGUCUCGGAGCUGGUGCUUGUGCUGGCAUAAUUGCCAUGUCUGCAACUUACCCA
rnacentral:misc_RNA from 1 species